UGACGUCAAAUCAUCAUGCCCCUUAUGUCUUGGGCUUCACGCAUGCUACAAUGGCCGGUACAAAGGGUUGCCAAACCGCGAGGUGGAGCUAAUCUCACAAAACCGAUCGUAGUCCGGAUCGCAGUCUGCAACUCGACUGCGUGAAGUCGGAAUCGCUAGUAAUCGUGAAUCAGAAUGUCACGGUGAAUACGUUCCCGGGCCUU
rnacentral:rRNA from 1 species